rnacentral:rRNA from 1 species
GAUGAACGCUGGCGGCGUGCUUAACACAUGCAAGUCGAACGAGAAGUGAAGACGGAAACCUUCGGGCGGAAGGCUUUAUUUCGAGUGGCGGACGGGUGAGUAACGCGUGGGUAACCUGCCUCAUACAGGGGGAUAACAGUUGGAAACGACUGUUAAUACCGCAUAAGACCACAGCACCGCAUGGUGCGGGGGUAAAAACUCCGGUGGUAUGAGAUGGACCCGCGUUCGAUUAGCCAGUUGGCGGGGUAACGGCCCACCAAAGCGACGAUCGAUAGCCGAUCUGAGAGGAUGACCGGCCACAUUGGGACUGAGACACGGCCCUAACUCCUACGGGAGGCAGCAGUGGGGAAUAUUGCACAAUGGGGGAAACCCUGAUGCAGCGACGCCGCGUGAGUGAAGAAGUAUUUCGGUAUGUAAAGCUCUAUCAGCAGGGAAGAAAAUGACGGUACCUGAGUAAGAAGCCCCGGCUAACUACGUG